AUUGAACGCUGGCGGCAGGCCUAACACAUGCAAGUCGAGCGGCUGAAGGGGGCUUGCUCCUGGAUUCAGCGGCGGACGGGUGAGUAAUGCCUAGGAAUCUGCCUGGUAGUGGGGGAUAACGUCCCGAAACGGGCGCUAAUACCGCAUACGUCCUGAGGGAGAAAGUGGGGGAUCUUCGGACCUCACGCUAUCAGAUCAGCCUAGGUCGGAUUAGCUAGUUGGUGGGGUAAAGGCCUACCAAGGCGACGAUCCGUAACUGGUCUGAGAGGAUGAUCAGUCACACGGGAAUUGAGACACGGCCAAGACUCCAACGGAGGGCAGCGGUGGGGAAUAUGGGACAAUGGGGGAAAGCCUGACCCAGCCAGGCGGGGGGGGGGAAGAAGGUCUUCGGAUUGAAAAGCACUUUAAGUGGGGAGAAAGGCCAGUAAGUUAAUACCUGGCUGUAUUGACGUUACGGACAGAUUAGGAACGGGCUAACAUCGU
rnacentral:rRNA from 1 species